UCCCGAGGGUGAGGGACGAGUCUGAGGUGGGCAGAGUCCCAAUGGUCAGAGUCCACUGAUGACGGGUCUGUUACAGGAAGGUGUCAGACUGAGAGCGAUGGACUCUCCGUGUCAGAGGCAGAGGCAACGUCUGGUGAGGAGCCACAGGGGAACAUUGAACAACAGAUGGAAACCAGGCUGAGAAGAGGCCAGGUUGACUCGAGGGAUUUGGAGAGAGGUCGAGGCAGUUUUGGGGGAUGCAGAGUGGAGAAAAGUUGGAUCAGCAGACCCAGCAUAAAUACAUCCCAAAGAAGAAGUGUUCAAACUGGAGGAUGAGGCUGACAAGGGAAGUCAAAGAUAGCAUAAAAGCAAAAGAGAGGGCAUGGAUCGCAAAAUCAGUGUGAGGCUGAAAGAUUGGGAAGCCGAUGAAAACCAACAGAAGGCAACUUCAAAAGCAAUAAGGAGAGAAAUGUGAAAUAUGAAGUCGGCCUUUGACAAGGUGCUGCACAUGAGGCUGUUGAACAAGAUCAGAGCCCAGGGAAGAUACUGGCAUGAUGGAGGAUUGGCUGACUGGAGGAGGCAAUGAGUGGGAAUAAACGGGGCCUUUUCUGGUUGGCUGCUGGUGAGUCGUGAUGUUUGCUUUUGGGACCAUUUCUUUCCACAUGAAAUGUCAAGUGAUUUCAAUAACAGAAUCGAUAGCUUUGUGCAAAGUUUGUGGAUAAUACAAAAUUAAGUGGAGGGGCAGGUGGUGUUGAGGAAGCAGGGUCUGCAGAAAGAAUCAGACUGUUUAGGAGAAUGGGUAAAGAAGUGUCAGAUGGAAUACAGUGUAGAGAAGUGUAUGGUCAUAGACUUUGUUAGAAAGAAUAACAAUGUAGAAUAAUUUCUAAACAGGGAGAAAACCGAGAAAUCAGAGAAGAGUCUCAGAACACCACAACCCAGAAACAGGACUUUCUGUCCAUCUAGUCCAUGCUGAACUAUUAACCUGCCUUGUCCAAUCGACCUCCACCCAGACCAGAACCCUCAGUACCCCUCCCACCCUCGUACAAUCCACAUUUCUCUUGAAUCGAACGUGCAUCCACCUCUUCGGCUGGCAGCUUGUUCCACGCUCUCGCCUCUCUCUCAGUGAAGAAGAUCCCUCUCGUGUUCCGCUGAAACAGUUCAAGCUCUGUUUACAUUUACCCUCUCCAUAAUAUUGUAUUGUGAGGGGUAUGGAUAGGGAAAAUAAACCUCUGUCACAUCUCCCCUCAUUCUCCUACACUCUGGGGAAUAAUGUCAUAACCUGUUCAACCUCUCCCUGUAACUCAGGUCCUCAAGUCCUGGUAACAUCCUUGUGAAUGUUCUCUGCACUCUUUGAAUCUUGUUGAUAUCUAACCUGUAGGUAGCUGAACGGAAGUGCACACAAUUCCCCAAAUUGGGCCUCACCGCAUCUUCAACUUCAACAGGACAUCCAACUCCUUUACUCAAUACUGUGAUUUAUGAAGGCCAAUGUGCCAAAAGCAUAUUAUGACCCUAUCUACCCGUGAUGUUACUUUCGAGGAAUUAUGGAUUUGUAUUCCCAGUUGCCCCUGUUCUACCUCACUCUUCAGUGACCUACUGCUCACUGUGUAAGCCCGACCCUGGAAUGACCGACCAAAGAGCAACACCUCACACUUGUCUGCAUUAAAUUCCAUUUGCCAAUUUCAAACCCAUUUUUCCAGCUGGUCUCCAUCUUUCUGCAAGCUUUAAUAGCUUUGCUUAUUCUCCACUACAGCCCAAAUCUUGGUGUCAUUCGCAAAUUUGUCAACAUAAGUGACAAACAAGUACAGACCCAGCUCUGAUCCCUGCGGCACACACCACUAGUCACAGGCCUCCAGUCAGAGAGGCAGCCAUUUACACGUACAGACUCAGCUCUGAUCCCUCCGGCACACACCAUUAGUCAUAGGCCUCCAGUCAGAGAGGCAGCCAUUUACAAGUACAGACCCAGCUCUGAUCCCUGCGGCACACACCACUAGUCACAGACUUGCACUCAGUAAUGUGUGUACACUCCAUAACCUCCCUGCUUUUCCUCACUUCUAUAGAGUUUGGUUGUGGCGCAUGGCUAGUCCAACGCCUUAACCAACUGGUUAAAGUGUUGGACUAGCAAUCUGAAGGUCGUGAUUUUGAGUCCCAGCUGAGGCAGCGUGUUUUGUCCUUGAACACGACACUUAACCACGCAUUGUUCCAGUCCACCCAGCUGAAAAUGGGUACUGGCAAAAUGCUGGGGGUUACCCUCGCGAUAGACUGGGGUCCUAUCCGUGGGGUGGGGGGUGUCUCGUACUCUCAGUCGCUUCACGCCACGGAAACCGGCAUAACCACCGGCCUGAUGAGCCAAUAAGGCUCGGGACAGAUUUUAACUUUGACUAACUUAACCACAGUCUCUGUAUCCGUCUCCUAAGUAAUGCAGAUGCAAAAUAUCCAUUUAAGAUCUCCCCCAUCUCUUUCAACUCCAUGCACAGAAGAUCUUCAACAGGACCAAUGUUGUCCUUUGCUAUCCUUUUGCUUUUAUUUUCUCUGUGGAAGCCCUUGGGACUCCCCUUCACCUUGUCUGCCAGAGGAACCUCAUGCCUUCUUUUAGCCCUCCCGAUUUCCUCAAGUGUUCUCUUGCAUUUCUUAUACUCCGUAAGUACCUCAUUUGUUACUUCCUGCCCCUCCUUGCUAUGUACCCCCUUCUUCUUCCCCAGGAUCUGAAACAUCUCUCGGAAACCAACAUUCCCAAAACCUCUUACACUUGCCUGUUAUUCUGAGUGGAACAUACAUCUCAAAAUUCUACGUUUGAAGUUACCAAGCAUAACUGUGAAGGGCACCAUCAGUCUGCAAGAAAUUUGAGUGUCGGGGGCAGAAGUGAGUGUAGUUGCUAUUACUAAGGAGAAAGUGUUUGGGUAGCUGAAAGGUCUGAAAGUCGAUAAGUCACCUGGACCAGAUGGACUACACCCCAGGGUUCUGAAAGAGGUGGCUGAAAUGACUGUGAAGGCAUCAGUAGUGAUCUUUCAACAAUCACUGGAUUCUGGGAUCAUUUUGGAGGAAUGGAAAAUUGUAAAUGUCACUCCACUCUUUAAGAAGGGUGGGAGGCAAACAAUAGGAAAUCAAAGGCAACAAAACACACACAGAUUGCGAACAAAAGACUCUUGAUUUCACUCACGCAGGUAUCACGUUUUGAACACCACAGAUGCAAAUUCACCCACCGGCA